GUGCGAGGGAGUGCGCGCGGGUGGGACCGCCGGGGGCUGGUGGGGCCCGCGCCCUGGGACGAGCCCCUCGUGCUCUGGCUCUGCGCUCCCGCAGCGCCCAGGCAGCCGAGAGGAGUGGGUGAUGACUUCGUGACCUCAACGUCCUUCCCCGUCCCUCGACAUGUUCCCGCGCCUGAAAGGUGCAGAAAACUCCCCCCACCGCUCUGGACGAGACUGAGCUAGGCGUCGAGGGCGGGCGCCGCCGCAGACCGAAGCUCGGGCUCGCUGGCCGCUCAGGCGCCGCGGUGUGGAGGGAACGGACGCGCGGCAAGGCGACCCGCUCUGGGCAACGCGGGCGCAGCUGCCCCGACGCAAGGCACUGACUGGUCGGAGGCUCGUGCGAGCCGGGGCCGGCGUGCCGGGGCGUGCGCUCUCUCUCGGCAGGCGAGCGCCGGGCUCCGCGGAGGUCCCUGCGCCCCCUGCCUCCCUACUGCCUGCUUCUCCGCCCAGCGACCCCGAGCCCCCAGGCUGCGGUACGCCAGGCAAGACGUGACCGAGAGCGGAAGACCCGAGCGGCAGGGAGGCAGAAAGAAAAGAGUGAGAGGCAGAAGGAAGAAAGAGGAGAAAGAGAUGAGAAGACAAAUGUCUUUCCCUUCUUGAAGAGGUGGUCCUGACUACUGCUCAACCACAGCCUACUGAAAGAGCCCUGGAAAAUCUGAGUUCUAGAUCUGCCUGUACCACUGUGGGACCCAAGCAAAGGACUGGGAGACAGAAGCCUUCAGUUUGAAUUUCAGAUUCUUGAAAACUAACUUUCUCAAUCAUGUUCUUGGGAAAGUAACUAUGUGUUCAUUUCUAAGAAUCAUGUGAAGGUGGCUCUGUCUACUGAGAAUCUACUUCAAAUCCAUGCUACUAAAAUGGAGCUAAUAUGCGUCAUUUCCUCAGCUAUAAUUUGAGGAGGUUAAUAAUUGUUAAAUCACUAGACUGCUAUAAGGUUUGCCCAUAAACAUUGUAAAUAAUGUAUUCAAAAUUAUUAAAAUGUUACAAUAUAGACAAGAGUGUGAUAUAAUAAAAUGUAAUUAUAUAAA
rnacentral:antisense_RNA from 1 species